rnacentral:pre_miRNA from 1 species
GUACGGUAGAACGGGGAACACGAUGGAAUCAAUCGAUAAUCCCCGUAUACUGUAGG